rnacentral:rRNA from 1 species
AUCCGGUUGUCCAGGCCGUCGAGAAAAGCCUCGGCGUGAGGGCCACGGCCGCCCGUACCCCAAACCGACACUGGUGGUCAGGUAGAGAAUACCAAGGCGAUCGAGCGAAUCCUGGUCAAGGAACUCGGCAAAUCACUCCCGUGCCUUCGGUAUAAGGGAGACCCACUGGGGUGAAGGACCUUGCGUCCGGAGCUUUGGUGGGUGGCACAGACCAGGGGGUAGCGACUGUUUACCAAAAACACAGGUGCAUGCGAAGGCGAAAGCCGCUGUAUAUGCACUGACGCCUGCCCGGUGCCGGAAGGUUAAGAGGAUCCGUCAAUCCUUCGGGACGAAGCGGUGAAUUCAAGCCCCGGUAAACGGCGGUGGUAACAAUAACCAUCCUAAGGUAGCGAAAUUCCUUGUCGGGUAAGUUCCGACCUGCACGAAUGGCGUAACGACUUCCCCACUGUCUCGACCAGGAGCUCGGCGAAAUUGCAGUACGAGUAAAGAUGCUCGUUAAGCGCAGAAGGACGAAAAGACCCCGGGACCUUUACUAUACCUUGGUAUUGGCGUUAGGCGCGGAUUGUGUAGCAUAGGCGGGAGGCUUCGAAGCGGGUGCGCCAGCAUUCGUGGAGCCGCAAGGUGAAAUACCGCUCUGUUCUCGUUUGACGUCUAACCUCGACAAGUCAUCCUUGUCAGGGACAGUGCCUGGCGGGUAGUUCAACUGGGGCGGUUGCCUCCCAAAGAGUAACGGAGGCGCUCAAAGGUCCGCUCAGCCCGGUUGGCAAUCGGGUGUCGAGUGUAAUCGCACAAGCGGGCUUGACUGCGAGGACGACGGUCCGAGCAGGGACGAAAGUCGGAGAUAGUGAUCCGGUGCCGGCGCACGGGCGCGGCAUCGCUCAACGGAUAAAAGGUACCCCGGGGAUAACAGGCUGAUCAUUCCCAAGAGUCCAUAUCGACGGGAUGGUUUGGCACCUCGAUGUCGGCUCGUCGCAUCCUGGGGCUGGAGCAGGUCCCAAGGGUUCGGCUGUUCGCCGAUUAAAGCGGCACGCGAGCUGGGUUCAGAACGUCGUGAGACAGUUUGGUCUCUAUCCUCUGCGCUCGUUGGAAUCCUGAGGAGGCCUGCCCAUAGUACGAGAGGACCUGGGUGGACGAACCUCUGGUAUGCCGGUUGUCGCGCCAGCGGCACGGCCGGUUGGCUACGUUCGGGAGGGAUAACCGCUGAAAGCAUCUAAGCGGGAAGCCUGCUCCAAGAUUAGGAUUCCAUGGAUCUUCGAGAUCCUGUAGCCCGCAUGUUGAACACUGUUUGAUAGGCCGGAGGUGGAAGCCCCGUGUGGGGUGGAGCCGACCGGUACUAACGGGCG